GGGGUGGGAUUCAAUGGUAGAGCACCUGCUUUGCAUGCAGAAGAUCCCAGAUUCAAUCCCUGGCAUCUCCA
rnacentral:tRNA from 1 species